CCUACGGGAGGCAGCAGUGGGGAAUAUUGCACAAUGAGGGAAACCCUGAUGCAGCGACGCCGCGUGAGUGAGGAAGUAUUUCGGUAUGUAAAGCGCUAUCAGCAGGGAAGAAAAUGACGGUACCUGACUAAGAAGCCCCGGCUAACUACGUGCCAGCAGCCGCGGGAAUACGUAGGGUGCAAGCGUUAUCCGGAUAUACUGGUUGUAAAGGCAUCGGAGACGGUUAAUCAAGGCAGAAGUGAAAACCCCGGGCCUAACCUUGGGACUGCUUUUGAAACUAAGUAGCUAGAGGUAGGGAGAGGUAAGCGGAAUUCCAAGUGAAGCGGUGAAAUGCGUAGAUAUAAGGAGGAACACCAGAGGCGAAGGCGGCUUACUGG
rnacentral:rRNA from 1 species